rnacentral:rRNA from 1 species
AUUGAACGCUGGCGGCGUGCUUUACACAUGCAAGUCGAACGGCAGCACAGGAGAGUUUACUCUCUGGGUGGCGAGUGGCGAACGGGUGAGUAAUACAUCGGAACGUGCCUAGUAGUAGGGGAUAGCCCGGCGAAAGCCGGAUUAAUACCGUAUACGACCUACGGGGGAAAGCAGGGGACCUUCGGGCCUUGCGCUACUAGAGCGGCCGAUGACAGAUUAGGUAGUUGGUGGGGUAAGGGCCUACCAAGCCUGCGAUCUGUAGCUGGUUUGAGAGGAUGAUCAGCCACACUGGGACUGAGACACGGCCCAGACUCCUACGGGAGGCAGCAGUGGGGGAAUAUUGGACAAUGGGGGGAACCCUGGAUCCAGCGACGCCGCGUGCAGGAAGAAGGCCUUCGGGUU